GUACACUCCUGCGGGAGGCAGCAGUGGGGAAUAUUGGACAAUGGGCGCAAGCCUGAUCCAGCCAUGCCGCGUGAGUGAUGAAGGCCCUAGGGUUGUAAAGCUCUUUCACCGGUGAAGAUAAUGACGGUAACCGGAGAAGAAGCCCCGGCUAACUUCGUGCCAGCAGCCGCGGUAAUACGAAGGGGGCUAGCGUUGUUCGGAUUUACUGGGCGUAAAGCGCACGUAGGCGGACUAUUAAGUCAGGGGUGAAAUCCCGGGGCUCAACCCCGGAACUGCCUUUGAUACUGGUAGUCUUGAGUUCGAGAGAGGUGAGUGGAAUUCCGAGUGUAGAGGUGAAAUUCGUAGAUAUUCGGAGGAACACCAGUGGCGAAGGCGGCUCACUGGCUCGAUACUGACGCUGAGGUGCGAAAGCGUGGGGAGCAAACAGGAUUAGAAACCCCAGUAGUCCCAU
rnacentral:rRNA from 1 species